rnacentral:rRNA from 1 species
UACGGGGGGGGCAAGCGUUGUCCGGAUUUACUGGGCGUAAAGAGCGCGCAGGCGGUCGGCCAAGUCGAGUGUGAAAGCCCCCGGCUCAACUGGGGAGGGUCAUUCGAUACUGGUCGACUCGAAGGCAGGAGAGGGAAGCGGAAUUCCCGGUGUAGUGGUGAAAUGCGUAGAUAUCGGGAGGAACACCAGUGGCGAAGGCGGCUUCCUGGCCUGUUCUUGACGCUGAGGCGCGAAAGCUAGGGGAGCAAACGGG